GACGAACGCUGGCGGCGUGCCUAAUACAUGCAAGUCGAACGCAGUGGGGACGGGUGAGUAACACGUGGGUAACCUCCCAUCAGAGGGGAUAACACUUGGAAACAGGUGCUAAACCGAUACUGAUGGAGGAACCCGCGGUGCAUUAGCUCGUUGGUGAGGUAACGGCUCACCAGGGCCAAGAUGCAUAGCCGACCGUGGAGGGUGAGCGGCCACACUGGGACGUAGACACGGCCCAGACUCCUACUGGAGGCAGCAGUAGGGAACCUUCGGCAAUGGACGAAAGUCUGACCGAGCAACGCCGCGUGAGUGAAGAAGGUUUUCGGAUCGUAAAACUCUGUUGUGAGAGAAGCGGUAUCUAACCAGAAAGCCACGGCUAACUACGUGCCAGCAGCCGCGGUAAUUC
rnacentral:rRNA from 1 species